AUGUUGAGAACCAAAAAUUUAUCUUUACUAUCUACUUCAGUCGGAGGCGAUGCAGCAGCGGUGAAGGCGCUGCUUGUGCUCGGGUGCAUGCACGUGCAGAAGGGCAUGUUCAUUGACAGUGCUGCGAUGGAUGUCUUGUUGGGUUGGCAGGGAAGAGGUCAAGCCAGAGGUGAUGCACAUCCUUACAGUCAUGGUCCAAACCGUACACGGCACCCAUAUGCCAUGACCGUCGUCAUCUUGCAUCUUGUCGGUCAAGCGGAGGUAGUGGCUACUGCUCCACCUCAGAAGCAAAUGUGUGAGGAUGAUCAACCAAAAGGAAAAUGA
rnacentral:rRNA from 1 species